UCCGAGUUCUCCCCGGCAGUCCCCCACGAGUCCCCGGCAUCAUCCGCUGGCAACAUGGGGCAAGGGUUGCGCUCGUUGCGGGACUUAACCCAACAUCUCACGACACGAGCUGACGACAGCCAUGCAGCACCUGUCACUCGGUUCCCGAAGGCACCCCUCCGUCUCCAGAGGGUUCCGAGGAUGUCAAGGGCUGGUAAGGUUCUUCGCGUUGCAUCGAAUUAAACCACAUGCUCCACCGCUUGUGCGAGCCCCCGUCAAUUCCUUUGAGUUUUAGCCUUGCGGCCGUACUCCCCAGGCGGGGCGCUUAAUGCGUUAGCUUCGGCACAGAAGGGGUCGAUACCCCCCACACCUAGCGCCCAUCGUUUACGGCUGGGACUAC
rnacentral:misc_RNA from 1 species